GUGAAAAGCCACUGUGUGAGCCAGGAGUUAAUCAGCACAAUCACGCAGCCAGUACUCAGACUGACGCCUGGCCCUCUUGCACUUGGCAGAUAGACUGACUUCUUCAUGAGAACUGGAACUGUAUUUGUCACAUCUGGAGCACUGUGUCCACCCUAGGGCUCCUGAUCACCAGAAAUGCAUACAGCUACCUACAGGAGAGAGUCCAGCAAAGGGCCAUGAAGGUGAUUAAAGGCUUAGGAUAUCUGAUGUACAAGGCCUGGCUGAUGGACCUGGUGCUGUUCGGUCUGGAGAAGAGAAGGUUCAAGAGGGAUUUUAUGAAUAUGUAUAAAAAUCUGAUGGGAGAAUCAAGAAGAGGGAGCCAGGCUUUUCUCAAUGGUGCUCAGUGAAAGACAAGAGACCUCAGGCAGGAACUGAAAUACAUGAAAUUCCAUUUAAACAUAUGUAAUGGUUUUGGGUCUAGGCCUUCCUUCCUGGUAACCAGGAAGGAAGUAAGUAAGUAUUCCAUCCUAUUCCUUUACGUAACCAAACACAUAAAUAGAUGGAGAGUGAAGCCUCUUCCUCUCUUCCCUUCUGGCAAGGUUUGGAGACAGCAGACUUCCGCAGGUAGGUCUUGCUCCUGUGGGGGAGCUGAGGCCUGGCUGGGCCUACAGGGCCUGUUGUUUUUGCUGAUCCAGGGUCCAGUAGUGUGGCGGCGGUCGUUCAGUGUGAUUGCUGCUGUCCCAAGGAAAGUAGUCUGUAUUUCUCUGCCCUACAUCAUGUGUCAGUCUUAAACAUCUCAUUCAACACAGCAGCACUGCUUGCUACUGCCAGCUAUAUAAAAUGAUGGUUGUACCCUGCAAGGAUAAACAAAAGCAGAAUGAAUUAGUCACAGACGCCUGGCUAAUUGGAGGAACCACUCUCAUGGCUAAACAAAGUAAAACAGAGCUGCAGGAAGCUGUCAGUAAUGGAAAUGUAUACAUCUGCUGCCUACCAGUAGUGUGAGAAAUAAAUAUCCAACAAAUCACAUUUGGGAGAUCCUGCUGUCAACAGGAAUUGAAUAUUUUCAUUUUAGUGAAGGAUACCACUUUCCUAACAUAUGUUUAUAAACAAAUGUGCUCAAGAGCUGAGCAACUGUGCUUAUUGUUUGUUGUCUUCAAACCUGAAAGCAGAUACCUGCUGCUGUUGCUCAGUGACACCCAAACCAGCAAGCAUGGACACAGGCAUAGAGGCCAACACAAAAUGUGCCAAUAAUUAACGCUGUAUUAUCUUUAAAAAUGCAUAUCUUGAAGAAGGUGAGAAAUCAGACUGUGUUGCAAUAUGUGUUUUACCCUAGUUCAGUCUGGUUUCCUAAUAAUUGUGAUACUUAAAAUUUUGGUCACUGGUUUCAGAAGUACUUAUUGCCUGAGCUAGCACAAUGCAGGAUCAACAUAUUUCAUACAUGCAAUAUUGGCUGUUUUCUUGCUAUCAUACUGUACUUGGCAAUUCUAAUAUUUACCUGCUAACAACUUUGACACUAAUGACUUCAUUUAUGGGUCUUUCCUCUGAAGCCUAAGAGAUAAUUUUAAAAA